GCCAUUUCCGGAUCCGGUGGCGAUAGCUGCCGGGUUAGUUAAGAGCCGCGAUGCACUGGCGCGUGAUUUGAGUUAUGGCGCGCGUAUCGCCGGGGAUGUUGGGGCGCAGCUCGAGGCAGAAGGGCGAGGCAGAGGGCGUGCGCCCUCUGUGCCUGCGCCGCCUGCCAUUGACUUCUCGGCUGAGAGCUCGGACCCCAAGCGUGAUGGUAGAUUCUCUACUGCUGAGCCACUCAGCAGUAAAGCCUACAGGUACAGAGUAAGUACUCUUUAUAUUUUAUUUCAUUUUAUUUUAAAAUACUUUUUUAUUUAUUUGGCUGUGCCAGGUCUUCAUUGUGGCAUGCAACUUUUACCUGUAACUAGUGAAAUUUGUGCAUCUUCUAUGUUAUGGGCCUUACGGGAUUCCUUUUUGGUUACUGAUACGUUUAGUAUUGCAUGUUUAUCUGUAUCAUGUUUCUAUUUUCUUUUUUUUUAAUUAAUUUGUAGGCAGCCUUGAUAUAUUCUGGCCUCUCCUUGUGGCUCAGCUGGUAAAGAAUCCUGCAAUGUGGGAGACCUGGGUUUGAUCCCUGGGUUGGGAAGAUCCCCUGGAGAAGGGAAAGGCUACCCACUCCAGUAUUCUGGCCUGGAGAAUUCCUACAGUCCAUGUGGUCGCAAAGAGUCAGACACAACUGAGUGACUUCCAUUUUCACUUUAGAUAUAUCCUGGAUAUGGAAUAAAAAUUGACUCAUGUUUUAGACUUGGACAAAUGGGUGGAUUAUGUGCUAGUUUAAAUAGAUGGAAAAAAAAUAGAUGGAGAAG
rnacentral:lncRNA from 1 species